rnacentral:lncRNA from 1 species
CUUAUUUCAUUAUUUCAAAUAAGAUGUUUGAAACUUUUACCUUCUUUGCACCCAUCUGAAACUGGUUUCCCUGGUAACGGAAUCAGGGAUGCCGCCCCCCAAGAGCUGAACGCAGAAACUCUUACUUUGCUGAUCCCAGAAGACAGCACCGAAGGGGAGAGUCAGCAAGACUACAAUUCCUGGGAUCCACUGAAGGAGUAUCCUGAGAGUUGCUAUGCAAAGUGGACAAACACCAGUUGUCAGCGGAUGGUGUCAGGACUGAAGCAAGUCUGCAGCACCCCUACAAUCUGGGCAUGCUGCAAGCAAUUCCCAGUUUCUUUAGAAACUGCCUUUUGAGAAGGUGACACUUGAGUUUGGUUAUUUCGAGGAAAAGAUGUCAGUUCAGAGGGUCCUGGACGCAGAGGCCUGACUUCACAAGAUCCACGCUUGAACAGACUAAACUGGAGUCGCUGACAGUGCCAGUUACUGAUGUGCAAGCUUUCAUGAAAGCCCACCCUGAGACCAUCUACUCCUUGCCCAAGGCAUUCACAAGUAACAAGCAGCUGGGAAGUUCAGUGGUCAGCCAAAUGGGCCUAAAGUAGCAACUUCUCAAAGAAAAGUGUGAGCAGCACCGUGUUAACUUCCCAAAAUUAUUAAAGUCUCAAGAAAUUGAUAAAAACUCUUAAAAUUUGUUUAAGAAUUCUCAAAUUUGUUAAAUUCUCAAAAAAUGGCAUCUCGUUUAAUCCCUCAGGCCUGUGAGGCCUGUGAGGUAGGUAUUUUUAUUCCAAUUUUGCAGUUGAAAAAUGAUCCUGAGAGGGGCUAAGGAACUUGCCCAAGGCAUACACAAUUGAUAAGUAUGUACCUCACCCAGGGUCUGUGCCUGAUCUGGAGUUGAUUCCACGCAGCAUCCUUCCAGGGCACCGCAGUGCCCCGUGGGCUCCUUCCAGUCUGUAUUCUCAUUUCAAGUAGGAUAUUACUCAUGCAACUACAGAAGAACCUUUUAUUUUAAACAACAAAAAUAAUAUAGAAGUCUGUUACAGCCUACUUUUAACUCAUUACUAAGGUUUACCAUCACUGGGGUUUCUAAAUUACCUCUCUGAGGCAAGCAAUGUAUAAGGAUGCAAAAUAAUUAACACACAAUUUCUGAAAACUAUAGAUUCUUAAUACUGAAAAUAAAACCCACAAGUUUAUGCAACAGAAACCUAUCUUGAAAAAAUUAGACAUCCAGUUUAAGUAUCUAAAAGGGUCCAUCAAGGGUCCAUGAAAGAUUUUCUAAGAAUUGUGAACAGGACAGACAUCUUAAGCAUGGAGAUAGGAUGAUCAAUGAACUGAGCUCCUCAGGGUCCUGUCAAAGACUGAAUCUAAGCUAGAGCAAAACUAAGUGGGAAAAUGAGAUAUCAUUUCUUGCCUAUCAUUAGCAAAUAUUUUUAGAGAAACAACAGUGUGGUUGACCUGAGACAUGCUAGCAUUGAGCUGGCAUUGCUGUGCUUUGCUGAGGGUAGUAUAAAUGAACCGAAUAUUUCUGGAAAGCAAUUUGGCAGUAUGUAUCAAAGAUCUGAAACACCACUCUAUCUUUUGAUGCAGUAAUUCCAUUUCUUGGGAUUAAUUCUAAGGAAAGGAGCAGAAAUAAGGAGAAAAAAUGAUAUAUGAGCAUUUUGUUUACAAGGAUUAUAAUAUCUCAAUGUUCGAAAUAGCCUACAUACUUAACAAAUGAGAAACGGGAAAUUAUAAUAAACUCAGUGUAAAUUGUUUAUGAAUAAAUUUUAAUAAUAAAGAAAAAUAAAGUCAACUCAAUAGCAAAAACACCAAAUAACCCAAUUUUAAAAUGGGCAAAGGAUCUGAAUAGACAUUUUUCCAAAGAAGACAUACAAAUGGCCAACAGGUACAUGAAAAGGUGCUCAACAUCACUAACCGUCAUGGAAAUGUAAAUGAAAACACAAGAAGAUAUCGCCUCUCACCUGUUAGGAUGUCUAUUACCGAAAAGACAAGAGAUAACAAAUGCUCGCGAGGAUGUGGAGAAAAGGAAACACUUGUGCCUUGUUGGUGAGAAGGUAAACUGGCGCAGCCACUAUGGAGAACACUAUGCACAUUUCUCAAGAAAUUAAAAAUAGAACUACCAUAUGAUCCAGCAAUACCACUCCUGGGUGUGUAUCCAAAGGAAACAAAAUCAUUAUGUCAAAUGUUUCCGCUCCCACGUUCACGGCAGUAUUAUUCACAAUAGCCAAGGUAUGCAAACAGCCAAAGUGUCCAUCAACAAACGAAU